AUGGGCAACAAUGCGACAUUGCUCUUCAGGAUCACUUGGCGCAGCUCAGCCGAGAUGACAAGGUGUCAACAUCCUGUUGGCUGUUGCAAGUAGCCCUCAAAUGUCUAGUGUGGGGUGCAGAAAAUAUGAGGAAGUUUUGUCCUAUAUACUUGUAAAGGGUGCUUUUCACAAGAAUGGUCUUCAACUUUGUCGUAAGGAUUUACAAAGCUGAAAUUCAAAACUCGGGAGUGGCCAGGUGGCGGCAAUGAUUCCAGUUUUUGGCUGGAUUUGCUUCAGUGGUUGGGUUUCUGGUUGACAGGUCUAACCAAGUGGGAAUGAUGGAAUCUUUGCUGCUGGAGUUAUUGGAAAAACAUUUGACAUCUACACUUUCUUGGGGAUCUAUACUUCUGCAAGUAAACCAAGGAUUCGUUUCAGCUGAGGUGCAUUAUGAAUAUGAAGUCGGCCCGUAGAAUGUGCUUCCUUGGGUCCGUGUAGAGACCCAGUUCGCUACGAUGUUCGUGUCCGCUGCAGCGAUGGAAAAUUGUGCAAGACUUAGACUACAUAGAUUCAAGUUGCGUUUACAUUUUACAGUAGAUUGUCUAUUAUUAUGGUUAAAAUAAACAUUAUUGGUACAAAAA
rnacentral:lncRNA from 1 species